rnacentral:rRNA from 1 species
AUUAGUGGCGAACGGGUGAGUAACACGUGAGUAACCUGCCCUUAACUCUGGGAUAAGCCUGGGAAACUGGGUCUAAUACCGGAUAGGAGCGCCUACCGCAUGGUGGGUGUUGGAAAGAUUUAUCGGUUUUGGAUGGACUCGCGGCCUAUCAGCUUGUUGGUGAGGUAAUGGCUCACCAAGGCGACGACGGGUAGCCGGCCUGAGAGGGUGACCGGCCACACUGGGACUGAGACACGGCCAG